GCUAGGCUGGGAGCUCCUCCACGCAUCUUCACAGGAAGCUCUGCCUCCCCUGCUCCCGGAAGAAGUAAGAACCUUUCCCUCAUCCCUAAGCUCGCUGAUGUUCUGAUUCAUUAGAUUGGUUCCAUCUUUCUUAACCUAACCUUAAUUGUGUGCAUUGGUGACGUUGCUGUUCUGGAGGCCACCCAUUGGUUUGGUCGAGCUCAAGACCGGCGCCUUCAGCUCCUGCCAGUGCUCGUGAUGAUGCUGCUGGGUGGCCACCGCCCCAACCUACUGCUGCAUCUGCAUCAUAUGGGAGGAGUAGGGCGUGAAGCGGCAAUGGGAGGUGGCGUCAGAGAACCGGUAGGAGGAGGCGUGGUGGCGGACAUCAUCGCUGACAUCCACAAGCUUAGCGGGGAGGUGCUCAGGUGGCUGUUAAUCGACUACGCGGUCUGGUCUGGUCUGGUCUCUGCUCUGUCAGGAGCAGCGCCUCGCCUCCUUCCUCAUGGUCUCCUGGAUGCCUGAUUAUCUUUUUUUUACCCAAUGGCUGCUAUGGUCUGGCUAACUACAACGACGUUUACAAUGAGCAUGUCAAGAUCAAGAUUACACCUAGUCAGCGUCACUUGUUGGAAGCACCACAGGUGGGGUGAGCUACCUCUUGAGGUUAUUUGAAGCAGACUAGGGUGUUACUCCUAGUACCUUGGUGCCCUAGAUCAGCAAGUGCAGGCACUCCAGGAGGCAGGGAGGGUUACCGGCAGUGGCAUGAGGCGGUUGUUGCAGGUCAUCGGCGAGCCACUAAUGUUUCCUAUCGACACGCAUGUGCUAUCGCCAUUGGAGGUAGAUGGCGGGCAUUGUGCCAGAUGACACAAAACCAUGUGACCGGUUCUUAUUGUAAACAAAAGAAAAUUCUGAUAUUACUGGCAGCAUGCAAAAGGUAUUUAGUUUGGAUGAAAAUUAUGUCCUCCAUAGGAAGGAAUGCUGAUAA